UACGAAGGGGGCUAGCGUUGCUCGGAAUCACUGGGCGUAAAGGGCGCGUAGGCGGUUCAUACAGUCAGAUGUGAAAUUCCUGGGCUCAACCUGGGGGCUGCAUUUGAUACGUGUGGACUAGAGUGGGGAAGAGGGUCGUGGAAUUCCCAGUGUAGAGGUGAAAUUCGUAGAUAUUGGGAAGAACACCAGUGGCGAAGGCGGCUCACUGGUCCGGUACUGACGCUGAGGUGCGAAAGCGUGGGGAGCAAACAGG
rnacentral:rRNA from 1 species